AUGACAAAGGUGGUCACUGGUGAGCCUGGCACGGGAAGGAUCAGCCUCCCUCGCUCAGGGCUUUUCAAUCUUAGGCGUUGCUUUGCCAUCUCCCCCUGCCCCAGCAGUGCUGACGGUCUGACGAAAAUUUUGUGCCCCUUUUUUUGGGCUCUGGCGGUCCCGUGCUGCCAGCAGAGGGAGCCCCGUGCGCGCCGCCGGGACCCCGGUACCGGGCCUCCUCCCCACCGGCCGGGGGGCACAAGGGGCGGCUGCUGCUCGUUCUCCGGCAUCCGGAUUUUCCCUCCGGCAAAAGUGUUUGUUAGCUUGUUUUGUGUUUUUCCUUUUUUUUUUUUUUUUUGGUCUUUUUUUUUCCCCUCCCUCCACCCACCAACCUGCAGGACCAAGGCAGGAGCUGGCUUUGCUGGUCCCGCAGAGAAAACCCCACACCUCGGGGGGGUCCCAGCCCCAUCACCGCACCCACGGGGGAGCUGCGGCCCCGGUCCCCCGGGGGCAAAUCCCAGGGGGAAACACCCGCGGGAAGCCAAGGGUAGUCCGGCAGCAGAGGAGGGAGGGAUGCGGCUCCAAGCAAUGGGGCGGGGAAGGGGGGGCUGCAGCUGUGUCGCCCCCAAGAGCCUCGCUUCUACUUCUGCAUUUGGGGCGGGUUGUGGCCAAACAGCGCCCAGCAGGUGCCGGGCUCCGGGGGGGCAGAGCUGGGGUUGGGCAGUGGGGAGGGAAAAAGGGAUGGGAUGGAAAGGGCAGGGAAGAAGGGAAGGAGGAAAAAAAAAAAAAAAAAGAGAUGGGAAGGGCAUAAGGGAAAGAAUGGGAAGGGAAGAGCAGGGACGGGACAGGACGCAGAGGUUUGGUGUCCGGCUUCCCCGGGGAGCAUCUCCAGGGGAUCCCGGGCUGGGCUUUGCACGGAGGACCCCAAACCGCCCCCCACCAGCGGCGAAUGCCCAGUCCCGGUCCCCAACCCCCGGUCCCCCCUCCCGGCGCCCGCGGCACCUCCGCUCCCCCCGGCCCGGCCCCGGGGCUGGGGCCGGCACCUGCCGGGCUCCCUCCCCGCCCGCCCCAUUGGCUCCGGGAGCCGGGGGCGGCCCCGUCCCGCACCGCCCCCCGGCCCCGAUCCCAUAUUAA
rnacentral:lncRNA from 1 species